UGGGGAAUAUUGCGCAAUGGGCAAAAGCCUGACGCAGCGACGCCGCGUGGGGGAUGGAAGCAUUCUCGGUAGUGUGAAACCCCUUUCGACCCGGAACCGUAAUGACCCGGCAAGGGUUUAGACCGGAUAGUCGGGUAUUAAGGAAGCCCCAGGGACUAACCGUACAGCUGCCAGCCAGCCGCGGGUAAUACGUAGGGGCCGAGCGUUGCUCGGAAUUACUGGGCGUAAAGGGUUCGUAGGUGGUGCGGUAAGUUGGGAGUGAAAUCUCUGGGCUUAACUCAGGGGCUGCUUUCAAACUGCCGUGCUCGAGUGCGAGAGAGGUCAGUGGAAUUGCAGGUGUAGCGGUGAAAUGCGUAGAUAUCUGCAGGAACACCCGUGGCGAAGGCGGCUGACUGGAUCGCAACUGACACUGAGGAACGAAAGCUAGGGGAGCAAACA
rnacentral:rRNA from 1 species